GGGCCUGCAUGUCCCAAGACAGCUGGAGAUUCAGAUGCUCAAAAGAGGAGAAAAUCCUACAGGAGUUCCAAAGACCAAACCUCUUCCCGGAUGGGAUUUGCACCAUGCCAUGCACCCACUAGAAAGAAUAUGGAAAAAGCUCUGUGAAGAGAAGAGCAUCACCGGAGCAUUCAGAGCCCACACAGGGACCAUGGCCCACCAUGCUCUGAGGGAUGCACGGUUCCCCUGGGCCCUGCUGCCCUGGGCAGUGUUUUUUCUCCAGCUGCACUCACAAACAGCCCAUGCUGGGGUCUGCACAUCUCCCACAGCCCACAGGACAGCUGAGUCCAUCGGUGUAUGCACCUGACCAGCACACGUAGCACCCAGAGAACAUUACUAGGGCUUUGGGAGCACAGAGGCCUCUUUGUCCCUAAUGUUCCUUGCUCUCCUGCACAGCCCUUGGCCCUUCCCAGGACUGCACGCUCUUCUUUUGUCCCUGAGCAGGCAAAGAAGGGUCAUGUCUGCACCAGAAGCCAAAUUCCAGCUGAUCUAACACUUUUGACUUUAAAUUCCCCUAUUUAAAUCUCUGUUAACAAGAACAUGCCCAAAGGAAUCAGCGUGUGGGGAACUUCCUACACUGCCCUCACUUCUUGGAAGCAUUUCAGAGUUGUUUCUGCCAAAGAUUUUGCCUUUUAUGACAG
rnacentral:lncRNA from 1 species